GAUGAAGAACGUAGCGAAAUGCGAUACGUAAUGUGAAUUGCAGAAUUCAGUGAAUCAUCGAAUCUUUGAACGCACAUUGCGCCCCCUGGUAUUCCGGGGGGCAUGCCUGUCCGAGCGUCAUUACAACCCUCAAGCUCAGCUUGGUGUUGGGCCCCGCCGCCCCGGCGGGCCCUAAAGUCAGUGGCGGUGCCGUCCGGCUCCGAGCGUAGUAAUUCUUCUCGCUCUGGAGGUCCGGUCGUGUGCUCGCCAGCAACCCCCAAUUUUUUUCAGGUUGACCUCGGAUCAGGUAGGGAUACCCGCUGAACUUAAGCAUAUCAAUAAGGGAGGA
rnacentral:misc_RNA from 1 species